GUCGAUAUAGUUUUAAUAUAAAACAAUAUAUUCGUAAUAUAUAAUUAUGGGUUUAAAUCCCAUUAUCGACA
rnacentral:tRNA from 1 species